rnacentral:rRNA from 1 species
CUAUUAGAAAUUAUUAAUAGUAAAAUCUGCUCCAUGUUUAAUAAAUAGCCGCAAUUUGUGCUAAGGUAGCAUAAUCAUUUGUCUUUUAAAUGAAGACUAGAACAAAAGAUUUAACAUUUUCAGUUUAUUUUCCUAAUUUAUCCUAUCAAAUUUAUCCUAAAUGUAAAAAGACAUUUAUAUAAAAGAAAGACGAUAAGACCCUAUUGAACUUAACUGCAGUUAAACUGGGGCAGUAAAUUAAUUAUUAUUUUAAUAAAAUUCACUCCAUAAACAUCUAAUAAAAUUAAAUAAUUCAGUUACCAUAGGGAUAACAGCGUAAUAAUCUUCUAAAGAUCUUAUUUAAAAUAUAAAUUACGACCUCGAUGUUGAAUUAAUAACCUAAUUAAGGCAAAACUUAAAAAAGGAAGUCUGUUCGACUUUUUAAAAAAUUACAUGAUUUGAGUUCAGACCGGUGUAAGCCAGGUCGGUUUCUAUCUUCUAAAAAAUUUUUUACAGUACGAAAGGACCUAAAAAUAUAAUA